rnacentral:rRNA from 1 species
GUGAGGAAUAUUGGACAAUGGGCGAAAGCCUGAUCCAGCCAUGCCGCGUGUGUGAAGAAGGUCUUCGGAUUGUAAAGCACUUUAAGUUGGGAGGAAGGGUAGUAACCUAAUACGUUGCUACUUUGACGUUACCGACAGAAUAAGCACCGGCUAACUUCGUGCCAGCAGCCGCGGUAAUACGAAGGGUGCAAGCGUUAAUCGGAAUUACUGGGCGUAAAGCGCGCGUAGGUGGUUCAGUAAGUUGGAAGUGAAAUCCCCGGGCUCAACCUGGGAACUGCUUUAAAAACUGCUGAGCUAGAGUACGGUAGAGGGUAGUGGAAUUUCCUGUGUAGCGGUGAAAUGCGUAGAUAUAGGAAGGAACACCAGUGGCGAAGGCGACUACCUGGACUGAUACUGACACUGAGGUGCGAAAGCGUGGGGAGCAAACAGGAUUAGAAACCCUUGUAGUCC